AAAUUGAAGAGUUUGAUCAUGGCUCAGAUUGAACGCUGGCGGCAGGCCUAACACAUGCAAGUCGAACGGUAACAGGAAGCAGCUUGCUGUUUCGCUGACGAGUGGCGGACGGGUGAGUAAUGUCUGGGAAACUGCCUGAUGGAGGGGGAUAACUACUGGAAACGGUAGCUAAUACCGCAUAACGUCGCAAGACCAAAGAGG
rnacentral:rRNA from 1 species